ACCCGGAAGGACUUCCUUCUCCGGUCAACAAAACGCGAGUACUGCACAUGCGUAAUUUAUUUGAUGGCUUUACAGUGCAAAAGUUUGGAAAUGUUAUCUAUGUAGAUGUUGAACCAAUGGAUAUAGCAGGCAACAUUAGGGAAAUGUCGAGUGACAUUUAUAUUUUUGCUAAACAGGUCUCUGUUCCCUUUCGCCAGUCGAACCUGAACAGGUUGGGAUAAAAACAAGCUAUGCUCUUAAACAACUUAUCAUUACAUCAGAAGGACGCAGCAUCAAUGAUGUACCUGAGAGAGUUGUGGGCAGGAACUGCAGCAAGAACCUUUUAAGACAUUUUCAUCCCUUCAGAUGCAAAACUAUCAAAUAAUACUCGAAAAUAAAUUUGACAUAACGUU